AGUAUUUUUUUUUUUUUUUUUUUUUUUUUUUUUUUUUUAGUAGAGACGGGGUUUCACCGUGUUAGACAGGAUGGUCUCAAUUGCCUGACCUCGUGAUCCGCCCGUCUCGGCCUCCCAAAGUGCUGGGAUUACAGGCUUGAGCCACCGCGCCCGGCCAAGUUGCAGGUUUAGAAGAACUUCUGGGACCAGUCUGUUCGCCAGAGGAUGACUCCAGAGAGAAUCGCCCCAUUUCUGAAAGGAGCAUGGUUCCAGAUGUUGGCCUGGACCCUGUCACUAAACAGCUUUGUGCUAACUGAUGUCUGCUAACUAUACAGGGAGCCUGAAAAAGCAUGUUCUUUGUAGUCAGACCAAGUUGCAUUUGACUGUACUCUGAACUUGAGGAUUACUCACUUUCCCUGAGCCUUAAUUUCCUCAUUUGUAAAAUGGGAAUCAUAGGAGAGGUGGGAUAACAUUUGCCAAACAUGAAUCCCACCCUCAGACUUGAGAUGCAAAGAAAUGUUUUCUUUCUUUACAUUUCCACAUGAAAUCCCACCUGCUUCCAACUUGACCACUUGGCAAGAAUCCCCCAGCAGUCACCCACAGGGCCACUCUUCUCUUCCCGGGGACUUUGUUGAGAUUCAGCAGAGCAUAUAACAAAGAAAAAAAAAGAGCAAGAAACAAUUCACUUUCCAGCACAGACCCUGGGACGCAGCAGAUCUGGGUUGCAGUGGAGCCUCUGGGCUGGGCCAGGCCAGAAAAGCCACACCAAAUAAUCUUGGGGAACAGCUGUGCAACCAUCCUUUCCCAGCAUGCUCAGGAUUCUGCAAACGUCCUCUGCCUUCUCUAAGGGCCCCAUCUCCCUUUCGGGGUUCUGUAGUGUGUGUUCAGCUUCUGGCCUAUGUCUUUCACUGUGUCGGGGUAUUUUUAGGUGGAUAGAAUAGGGUGAGGGGCACUAGGAUCUAUCAUGACUGGGGGGAAUAGGCAGGCCCAGUAUUAACAUGGCGUGUGUGUGUGUGUGU
rnacentral:lncRNA from 1 species